rnacentral:rRNA from 1 species
CGCGUAGGAAUCUACCCAGUGGUGGGGACGAACAGUCGGAAACGGACUGCUAAUACCGCAUACGCCCUACCGGGGGAAAGGACGGGGGACCGUUCGGGCCGUCGCGCCAUUGGAUGAGCCUGCGUAAGAUUAGCUAGUUGGUGGGGUAAAAGGACCUACCAAGGCGACGAUCUUUAGUCUGGUCUGAGAGGAUGAUCAGCCACACUGGAACUGAGACACGGUCCAGACUCCUACGGGAGGCAGCAGUGGGGAAUAUUGCGCAAUGGGGGAAACCCGUACGACGCAGCCAUGCCGCGUGUG